GCGAAUUCGCCCUUCGGGGUGCAGCAGGCGCGAAAACUUUACAAUGCCGGCAACGGCGAUAAGGGAACCUCGAGUGCCAGGUUACAAAUCUGGCUGUCGUGAUGCCUAAAAAGCAUUGCAUAGCAAGGGCCGGGCAAGACCGGUGCCAGCCGCCGCGGUAACACCGGCGGCUCGAGUGGUAACCGUUAUUAUUGGGUCUAAAGGGUCUGUAGCCGGCCGGGUAAGUCUCUUGGGAAAUCUGGCAGCUUAACUGUCAGGCUUUCAGGAGAUACUGCCUGGCUCGAGGCCGGGAGAGGUGAGAGGUACUUCAGGGGUAGGGGUGAAAUCUUGUAAUCCUUGAAGGACCACCAGUGGCGAAGGCGUCUCACCAGAACGGACCUGACGGCAAGGGACGAAAGCUAGGGGCACGAACCGGAUUAGAUACCCGGGUAGUCCUAGCCGUAAACGAUACUCGCUAGGUGUCGGCCACGGUGCGACCGUGGUCGGUGCCGUAGGGAAGCCGUGAAGCGAGCCACCUGGGAAGUACGGCCGCAAGGCUGAAACUUAAAGGAAUUGGCGGGGGAGCAC
rnacentral:rRNA from 1 species